UACGGAAGGCAGCAGUGGGGAAUAUUGCACAAUGGGCGCAAGCCUGAUGCAGCCAUGCCGCGUGUAUGAAAAAGGCCUUCGGGUUGUAAAGUACUUUCAGUCGUGAGGAAGGUGUUAAGGUUAAUAACCUUAGCAAUUGACGUUAGCGACAGAAGAAGCACCGGCUAACUCCGUGCCAGCAGCCGCGGUAAUACGGAGGGUGCGAGCGUUAAUCGGAAUUACUGGGCGUAAAGGGCACGCAGGCGGUUAAUUAAGUUGGAUGUGAAAUCCCCGGGCUUAACCUGGGAAUGGCAUUCAAGACUGGUUAGCUAGAGUCUUGUAGAGGGGGUAGAAUUCCAUGUGUAGCGGUGAAUGCGUAGAGAUGUGGAGGAAUACCGGUGGCGAAGGCGGCCCCUGGACAAAGACUGACGCUCAUGUGCGAAAGCGUGGGGAGCAAACAGGGAUUAGAUACC
rnacentral:rRNA from 1 species